AUGAAUCCAGUGGACAAAACAAUACAAGAAGUGCAUCCAUUGCAGUAACAUAUAAAACGGAUUCGGAUGGUCAAAGUGCUGAGACAUUCCCAUCUGAACAUCUGAAAUGCCUGAACAUCACAAUAUGUUAAAACUGACAAUUGGACCAAAGAUGCCCUGGAGAAUUUAUAUUCCAGUGUCAAGAAAGCACAGCAUAAAGGUGGAACUUGCACAGUGCAUGUAUACGUGGCAUUGUUUUGAACAGCACCAGCGAUCCCACGAAGACGUUCUACCAGUCUGUAAUGAGCACCGUGUUAGCUGGCUGAACACCUCCGUGAAGUUGGCACCCCAUAAAAAGAAUUGCAUGGUAUGCAUUUAACAGCUAAUAUUAUUAUAUUAAAGUUUUUCUGUCCCCCUUACAAAAGAUUAUUCAUCACACCGCAUAAGAAAACAAAAAGGACAUAACGGACUGUAGAAAAAGUGCUCAAAGAUAAAAUAGCCUUAAGCUAAUGAAUGUGUGCAUACCAGGACAAUUAAAAAUACAAUA